UUACCAUUUUCAACUCUUCCGUACGGCCAGUGCCACCGCGCAAACUGUCAGAUAAGCAUUAAUUCAUUAUCAGAGAUACAUAGGGCAUAUACAGUAUCGUAAUCCGAUACGCUUGAGUAUUUACACCUGACGAUUUUUUUACAUCUUUGAGACCCUGGAGACGCUGUCCCCACCGCUGAAAGUGCAUACAUCAUAGAACCUUUUUUUCUUUCUACCAUCUAAUCUUCAAAAUCCACUAGGUCUCCACGACGCUCGGGUAAAUCCCGAUUUAGCAUCGUCGGCUCUCCAACUAUUGAACCACCUUGGACCUCUCAUAUUGAAUAGGCCACUCCAAGCCGCUGUUAAAUAGACGUCAAAAUAAAAUUGUGAAGGACAAACAAAGGUGUUGUGUCUCACAUUUUAGCAGGAAGUCAAUAAUUAUGCCAUUCUUUUGUUGUGCUGUUAGAUGUGGAUGCCGAGGAAACAGAGACUGUUAUUUUUUUCGUAUUUCUGGAGGUAUUCCUGUAUUUUAGCCUAAGAAGCUUCACACAGAGACAACUCUGGCUUCAGAUAAAUAACUUGAGAAGGAGACAACAAAAUGUUUGGAUGCUAUUAUGACCUAGACCUGACUACUCGUUAUAUUUUUAUACUCAUUAUAUUUAUGCUGUUUAUUUUCUUAUGAGUUGUAUUUUGCACCGAUUAUAUUUUUAAACUGU